GCGACGGAAGGGCCACUUGUCCACGAUGGAAAUUAACACAAAGAAAAGUCUCUGUAGUCUUAGCUGGGCUUUCUCUCAGAGGCGUUCGACUUGUUCCUACUAGGCUCUCGGUACUGCCCGAGCAACUUUAGUACUGGGUGUCCUGUGGACGUGCCAAAGGAACGGGUAGUCCUUUCUUGACGAAAAUGGCGCUCCAGACCCACGACCUGGGGAGCCAGCAUUCUGGGCGGUUUCUCCAGAAACAGGCAGGAUUCGUACUAGCAGGCUGGUUGCUUGUCUACCUCUGGGGAGAAAGCAGGCGCACAAGUGAAGAGCCCGCGGUCUGAUUUUGAGGGUGUCCCCUGAGGCCAGGGAGUGAAACCCAGAGCACGGGGUCUUUGCCCAUCAGCCUGCUUCACAGGCUCUUCUAAAAAACCGAACAGGAGGAGAAGAAAACUCAACAGGUGAAAAAGAGUUGUAACAAAUGUUGAUCUUUGUCGAGGUGCACUGGGUGUUUCAGGGAUGUGUGCCAGUAAGGCCUCCACUGAAAGACCCAGCCUGAACCGGUCAGAACCAAGAUGGCGUCUGGAACAACCACUGCCUGACCUUCAAACUCAUUAUCCCCUCCUGGUACUGCAUUAGCACACUAGACGACACACCCACCGGCACCGUGACAGUGACAAUUUCCACAGUUAUGACCAGAAAUGACCUUAUAAGGAGAAAGAGGAAGCAGUCCUUGAAGUCCUUGACUUUUCCAGGAAAAGCUCUGAAUAUUCCUUUCCUCUGUUAUCCUAUACCAUGCCCUCAUGACUCCACUUGCUGUAUCUUACAGUGUCCAGCUCAGGAUACGAAAG